UACGGGGGGGGCAAGCGUUGUUCGGAAUUACUGGGCGUAAAGGGCUCGUAGGUGGCCAACUAAGUCAGACGUGAAAUCCCUCGGCUUAACCGGGGAACUGCGUCUGAUACUGGAUGGCUUGAGUUCGGGAGAGGGAUGCGGAAUUCCAGGUGUAGCGGUGAAAUGCGUAGAUAUCUGGAGGAACACCGGUGGCGAAGGCGGCAUCCUGGACCGACACUGACGCUGAGGAGCGAAAGCCAGGGAGCAAACGGG
rnacentral:rRNA from 1 species